ACGUAAUAUACAUAAACAUCACCAUAUAAUUAACCCCUUAAGGGUGGAGCCAAAUGUACACGUUGUGAACAAAACAAAAUGUAAACAAAACCUGGCAUUUGCGCUACAUGUCUGUCCAACCGUAAUUCACCUCUUUCAUAUUAAAUGCACCCACCCUUAUUAUAUAUCAUUUUAUUCAGGGGAAACAGGGCUUUCAUUUAAUAUCAAAUAUUUAGCUAUGAA